rnacentral:rRNA from 1 species
UCCAGACUCCUACGGGAGGCAGCAGUGGGGAAUAUUGCACAAUGGGGGAAACCCUGAUGCAGCGACGCCGCGUGAAGGAAGAAGUAUUUCGGUAUGUAAACUUCUAUCAGCAGGGAAGAAAAUGACGGUACCUGACUAAGAAGCCCCGGCUAACUACGUGCCAGCAGCCGCGGUAAUACGUAGGGGGCAAGCGUUAUCCGGAUUUACUGGGUGUAAAGGGAGCGUAGGCGGUUUAGCAAGUCAGAAGUGAAAGCCCGGGGCUCAACUCCGGGACUGCUUUUGAAACUGUUGAACUAGAUUGCAGGAGAGGUAAGUGGAAUUCCUAGUGUAGCGGUGAAAUGCGUAGAUAUCUGGAGGAACAUCAGUGGCGAAGGCGACUAUCUGGCACAUAACUGACGCUGAGGAGCGAAAGCGUGGGUAGCAAACAGGAUUAGAUACCCGUGUA